rnacentral:rRNA from 1 species
AUUGAACGCUGGCGGCAGGCCUAACACAUGCAAGUCGAGCGGAGCGGCGGACGGGUGCGUAAUGCCAAGGCAUCUGCCUGGUAGUGGGGGAUAACGUCCGGCAACGGGCGCUAAUACCGCAUACUAUCAGAUGAGCCUAGGUCGGAUUCGCUAGUGGGUGGGGUAAAGUCCUACAAAGGCGACGAUCCGUAACUGGUCGGAGAGGAGGAUCAGUAAAACUGGAACUGAGAACCGGCCCAGACUCCUAGGGGAGGCAGAAGGGGGGAAUAUUGGACAAGGGGCGAAAGCCGGAUCCAGACAUGCCGCGUGUGUGAAGAAGGUCUUCGGAUUGUAAAGCACUUUAAGUGGGGAGGCGUUACCAACAGAAUAAGCACCGGCUAACUACGUGCCAGCAGCCGCGGUAAUAC